AAUCCUGGCUCCCCACUUACUAAAUGCGGACUUUUAGGCAAGUAACUUAACCUUCCCAUGUCUCAGUUUCCUUAUGUUUAUAGUAGAGUAAUAAAAGAGCCACUGUGAUGGGGUCGUAGAAAGGAUUAAAUGAAAUUCUACCUGUAGCGUGUUUAGACAACGCUUGUCCCGUGCAUGCCGUUUAAUGGGUGUUACCUCUUAUUGACCCAUUUCACGGAGGAGGAAGUUGAAGCUUGGGGAGAGAAGGCCAUGUUUCCAAGGUGACACAGCCAGCAGGUUAAAAAUUCUGGAUUCAAACCUAGGAAGUCUAACCAGAGAGCCCGAGCUCUUUAUCAUCAAUCAAGUCAGCUUUGGUCCCUCAAGUGUGGGUGGAUUUUUGACCCGCUUAACUCUGUUUCAAGGACUUUCUUAUUUGCCCUAAAAUGUCCAGCCAGAGGGCGAUGAGGGCAUGAUAAUCUAUUUGUCAUUGCCCCCCUCAGGAAACUGAUUAAUUAAUUAAUGGGUUUAUCAAACAUUUAUUCAUUGGUUGAGCCCUGCUAAGUGUCAAGCACAGUGUUUGUCAUUUCACAUGAAUUAUCUCAAGUCCUCUCCACCGCAAAAUCUGCAUGACUGUUCCCAUUUUAUAAGCGAGAGUGUUGAUGCUCAGAAGAGUUAAAUAACUCGUCCGAGACCACACAUGUGCUGUUGACUUCCCGACGUCCACUCCAUCUGCAAGGGCAGGGCUUAUUAGUCCGAGCUAAUCAUACAAAUUGUAUCCCAAUUUACAGUGGGAGAACGCAGGCCAAAGCCAAUUAAUACAGAGGAUUCCGUUGGCCACGGGAUUAGUUCAGAAAUGAGCAUCAAUUUGAAUAAAAAAGAUGCAAGAGAAAAUUUUCUGUGGUUCUACAAAUAUUGUCGUCACUCUAGAGACAGCCUCAGCAGGAGACGAUCUCUGGCACAGUCGUGCGUGGAUUGAGGUCUGCAGGUGCUGCGGCCACCUCACUAUCAGCCUGAGGAUGACACUGGUGCAGGAGGUGGGCAUGGCCAGGAGAAUAAGUGACCACUGGAUUAAGCCAGUCCUGAAGCUUCCAGCUCUGUGGGUCGGUGGAUAUCCUUAUUGUUCCAACCAGUCUGAGUAAGGAUUUCUGCACAGCCAGCAAGGCAGGGAGCUGGGCUGCAAGUCCAAGUCCAAACUGGGGCACCUCCCCAAUCCGUGGCUCCCGACUGGGCCUGGCUGCAGACAUGGCUCUUCUACCCAAGUUGUUUACCAUCUGGCAGGAGGCUCUUGGCAUUCUGCUCUGGUGGCAGAUUUCAUCAUCAGUCACAAUGCCAACGAGAUGGUGGUUUGAGUCAUUGUUUAUCUGUUGGUCCAACUCUUCCAUAAUAAAUACGCAUCGCUUAGAUAAUAAAAACAACAAAGGGGAAAACUCCAUGUGAGGCUGAGAUAAACAAAAAAGCUCUGCUAGAAAAGAAGACUUAUCUAAAGAUAAAGCUGAAUGAUGUGUGUUUUAAAGAAUGCUAAACAGACAGAGCAAGGCUCUGAGCCUUUUAUCACAACGAGGCGCCAGUUCCCUUUGAGACCUGACUAUUAAUCAAGAGGAGCUGGGUGUCGCUAUUAUCAAACUUCCCUGAUUUUCUUCAAUCAGUAAAGGAACUUACAUCAGAAUGCCCUAAUCAACACAGCUUCUGGGGGCGAUGGGUCCAGCUAAGAGAGAUCCUAGGACUUUAAGAAGAGACGUCCUACAAAUUCAUGUAAUUCUCAAGACGGAGAAAGCCAGACAGGAGAUCAGCCAUCCAUUGGAAAGUUGGUUGAAUGCUGUGUUUCUAUACAGAUUUGUCCACCUCCCUCGCUCAGCAGUGAGAUCUUCAGGCACAACGAAGCUCCCUCUCCACAUGGAAGAGAGCUCCUAACACCCAGGGCUAGGCUCAAUGUGUGUGAGGUUGUACCAUAGAGACAGAGAAUGAUAGAGGGGGUUGAGACCACAGAGAGUGGGGCCCUCCGAAGAGGUAGAGGGUCCUGCUCAGCUGCCAAUCAGUUCUGGGGAGUUAGCACCAGCUUCCAAGAGGGGCGGAGUCAUUUUGGGAAGAGGAAAACCGUAUGAGUCAAGGUCUUUGGGAAGCUGGUGGAGUCUGUCUGUUGUAAAGUAGCGAGCCAAUAAUUCUGUAUUUGAGAUCUCAAAGAUUUCUCUAGGCCCUUGCAAAGCUUGUAGGCCCCAGCUACUGUUACCAUGGAGCCUGAUAGAUGAAACAGCCCUAGUGGACGAGAAGGACGGUUGUUCCUCUGCUGGGCAGAUGAGGAAUCUGAAGCUGGACAGGGGAAAGGACGUGGAGAAAGUCGCACAGCAGAGCAGGAGCUCAAAGAGUUUUGUCAGACACCAAGGACCCAGUCUUUCCUAGAAAGUUUGCAAGUGAGUGGAGCCCUGCCUCCUUGGUAGAUUUCCUUUCUGCUCUCCUGCAAGUGCCCUGCUGAGCCUCUGGGUAGACCUGACUGGGUUGCCCCUUCGUUGCCAAGGACGGAUCAUCUUGCUGGGCUUUCCCAGGGGCAUUAAUGAAACAGCUCCUGUGGUUGCAGCCACACAAAGCACAGUCAAGAUGGAAGUGAUUGCUGUCAUCGCUCAUGGUGGAAGUAGCGGUCCUGGAAACAUUACAGGAUGCUCUCAGAGAAUGCUGCUGUCACAAAGGAAUGAAACGAAUGGACAACCACCUCUCGUUAAGAGAACUUCUUCAUUCAGGCUCCCUGUUGAAGCGAACUCUGCACAUUGGACCACUGGCAUGUCUCUCCCAUUUCUAAAUGAUGGGUGGUGGAAAAUUCAGUUCUGCCCCUCCACAACACUGCAGCACGGCCUUCAGAACGCAAACUAAGUGCGAGGAAGCAUCCAUGAACCAAAAGCUCAAAGAUCCCUGCCUUUAAGAGCUGCCAUUCCAGUGGGGAGAAACAGAUAAGUGUCAUAAAUAAGUAAAUAAUAUAGAAUGUAAAAAAAAAUUACAAAUCACAAUGCGAUCCCAUUUCACAUCCACUAGGAUGGCUAUAAUAAAAAAG